rnacentral:rRNA from 1 species
UGGCGAACGGGUGAGUAACGCGUUGGUGACCUGCCCUAAAGAAGGGAACAACCUCGGGAAACUGAGGCUAAUACCCUAUGUGCUUCUUGAGAUUAGAUGCUCUUGAAGUAAAGGUCCUGUGGACGAAAGGCCACAGUGCCACUUUAGGAGGGGCCUGCGUACCAUCAGCUAGUUGGUAGGGUAAUGGCCUACCAAGGCGAUGACGGUUAGGGGACCUGAGAGGGUGACCCCCCCACACUAGCACUGAAACACGGGCUAGACACCUACGGGUGGCAGCAGUAGGGAAUCUUGCACAAUCGACGAAAGUCUGAUGCAGCAACGCCGCGUGUGCGAUGAAGGCCUUCGGGUUGUAAAGCACUUUUCUGAGGGAAGAGAAAGGACGGUACCUCAGGAAUAAGUCUCGGCUAACUACGUGCCAGCAGCCGCGGUAAUACGUAGGAGGCGAGCGUUAUCCGGAUUUAUUGGGCGUAAAGCGCGUGCAGGUGGUUUGGAAAGUUGGGUAUGAAAUCUCCUGGCUUAACUAGGAGAGGUUGCUCAAAACUCCCAGACUAGAGGACGAUAGAGGAAGGUGGAAUUCCCGGUGUAGUAGUGAAAUGCGUAGAUAUCGGGAGGAACACCAGUGGCGAAGGCGGCCUUCUGGGUCGUUCCUGACACUAAGACGCGAAAGCAUGGGUAGCAAACGGGAUUAGAAACCCCGGUAGUCCAUGCCGUAAACGAUGUGAACUUGAUGUCG